UUAGCUCAUAUUUGUAUGGAAUGGGAUCGUUUGCGUCCGUUUGCCGCUAGGGGCGCUGUUCCAACUGCAUACAAAUUUAAGAUA
rnacentral:pre_miRNA from 1 species